GUUCUACUGCGACGUUGGUGACUGCCAAUAAUGUUUUAUGAUCUAUGCCUUGUUAAAUUAGGGAACCUAGAGUUUCAGUGGCAGUAAACCGGGCUUGUACUCGGAAACUUUAAACUGGAGUUGUGGUACCCACCUGGAUUCGUCCAGGUCAAAAACUGAGGUAAGACGGCGUCGCGGGGAACCC
rnacentral:other from 1 species